rnacentral:rRNA from 1 species
AUGAAUGGACUCUUUUGGAAUUGCAGAGGGGCAGGUAAGAAGGGGAUGAGGACCUGCUUCUCUGAUAUUAUUAGAGAUCAUUCCCUCGAUUUCAUUGGCCUUCAACAGACUAAGAAGAGCAAUUUUACCCCUAAGUACUUGAGAAAAAUUGAUCCCUUUGAUAGAUUUAAUUGGAACUGGGUCCCCUCUAUUGGCAAAUCAGGUGGGAUUUUAUGUGGGGUGAAAAAAGAAUCCUUGGACACUGUUUCAUGGACAAUGGGGAAAUAUCUCCUGCAAGUUAAUGUAUUUGAUGUAAAGCUAAAAUGCAUAUGGGCCCUCAUAGUUGUUUAUGGGGCUGCUCACGAUGAGGAUAAAGAGGAAUUCCUAAUAGAGUUAACCUCGGUCUGCUCCCACAUUAGGAUGCCUUAUAUAGUGGGUGGCCAUUUCAAUAUCCCACGGGAUAGUAGCGACAAAAAUAAACACCUGUGUUGGAUGAGGGGUUCUGGCAAACCCUUAAGGUUCGAACUCUGGGGUGCACACGAAGUCUUUCCCUCCUACCGAUCCACGCCCUAG